GGUGAUGUAACUCAGAGGUAUAGUACUUGCCUGACAUGUAUGAGGCCAUGAGUUCAAUCCUCAAUAUCACCA
rnacentral:tRNA from 1 species